AUUGAACGCUGGCGGCAUGCUUUACACAUGCAAGUCGAACGGUAACAGGCCGCAAGGUGCUGACGAGUGGCGAACGGGUGAGUAAUGCAUCGGAACGUGCCCAGUCGUGGGGGAUAACUACUCGAAAGAGUAGCUAAUACCGCAUACGAUCUAUGGAUGAAAGCGGGGGACCGUAGGGCCUCGCGCGAUUGGAGCGGCCGAUGUCAGAUUAGGUAGUUGGUGGGGUAAAGGCUCACCAAGCCAACGAUCUGUAGCUGGUCUGAGAGGACGACCAGCCACACUGGGACUGAGACACGGCCCAGACUCCUACGGGAGGCAGCAGUGGGGAAUGUUGGACAAUGGGCGCAAGCCUGAUCCAGCAAUGCCGCGUGCAGGAAGAAGGCCUUCGGGUUGUAAACUGCUUUUGUACGGAACGAAACGGCUCUGGUUAAUACCCGGGGCUAAUGACGGUACCGUAAGAAUAAGCACCGGCUAACUACGUG
rnacentral:rRNA from 1 species